UUAGGUUAGGUUAGGUUAGGUUAAGGGACAGUACAAGGAUAGGAGAGGUUAGGUUAGGUUAAGGGACAGUACAAGGAUAGGAGAGGUUAGGUUAGGUUAAGGGACAGUACAAGGAUAGGAGAGGUUAGGUUAGGUUAAGGGACAGUACAAGGAUAGGAGAGGUUAGGUUAGGUUAGGUUAAGGGACAGUACAAGGAUAGGAGAGGUUAGGUUAGGUUAGGUUAAGGGACAGUACAAGGAUAGGAGAGGUUAGGUUAGGUUAAGGGACAGUACAAGGAUAGGAGAGGUUAGGUUAGGUUAAGGGACAGUACAAGGAUAGGAGAGGUU